AUUGAACGCUGGCGGCAUGCCUUACACAUGCAAGUCGAACGGCAGCACGGGUGCUUGCACCUGGUGGCGAGAGGCGAACGGGUGAGUAAUAUAUCGGAACGUACCCUAUUGUGGGGGAUAACGCAGCGAAAGCUGUGCUAAUACCGCAUAAUCCCUAAGGGGGAAAGCGGGGGACCGUAAGGCCUCGCGCAAUUAGAGCGGCCGAUACCUGAUUAGCUAGUUGGUGAGGUAAAGGCUCACCAAGGCAACGAUCAGUAGCUGGUCUGAGAGGACGAUCAGCCAGAAUGGGACUGAGACACGGCCCAGACUCCUACGGGAGGCAGCAGUGGGGAAUUUUGGACAAUGGGGGCAACCCUGAUCCAGCAAUGCCGCGUGAGUGAAGAAGGCCUUCGGGUUGUAAAGCUCUUUUGUCAGGGAAGAAACAGCAGCUCUAACACAGUUUGCGAAUGACGGUACCUGAAGAAUAAGCACCGGCUAACUACGUGCCAGCCGCCGCAGUAA
rnacentral:rRNA from 1 species